rnacentral:rRNA from 1 species
CCCCUGGACAAGACUGACGCUCAGGUGCGAAAGCGUGGGGAGAAAAGGAUUAGAUACCCUGGUAGUCCACGCUGUAAACGAUGUCGACUUGGAGGUUGUUCCCUUGAGGAGUGGCUUCCGGAGCUAACGCGUUAAGUCGACCGCCUGGGGAGUACGGCCGCAAGGUUAAAACUCAAAUGAAUUGACGGGGGCCCGCACAAGCGGUGGAGCAUGUGGUUUAAUUCGAUGCAACGCGAAGAACCUUACCUACUCUUGACAUCCAGAGAACUUAGCAGAGAUGCUUUGGUGCCUUCGGGAACUCUGAGACAGGUGCUGCAUGGCUGUCGUCAGCUCGUGUUGUGAAAUGUUGGGUUAAGUCCCGCAACGAGCGCAACCCUUAUCCUUUGUUGCCAGCGGUUAGGCCGGGAACUCAAAGGAGACUGCCAGUGAUAAACUGGAGGAAGGUGGGGAUGACGUCAAGUCAUCAUGGCCCUUACGAGUAGGGCUACACACGUGCUACAAUGGCAUAUACAAAGAGAAGCGACCUCGCGAGAGCAAGCGGACCUCAUAAAGUAUGUCGUAGUCCGGAUUGGAGUCUGCAACUCGACUCCAUGAAGUCGGAAUCGCUAGUAAUCGUGGAUCAGAAUGCCACGGUGAAUACGUUCCCCGGGCCUUGUACACACCGCCCGUCACACCAUGGGAGUGGGUUGCA